rnacentral:lncRNA from 1 species
GGCUCCUGACAGAGCUCAGCACUUACAGGAAGACCAGGAGCAGAGCACGUGUGUGACUAUAAUCCAGUAGAAUAAUCUACUGGACUAUUCCAAGAAUUAAAAGAGAGCAAGGACGUUGAAACUCCUGUGACGUACCCAAGGGGAUGCACUGCCCAACUCCUCUUUUGAGGAAAGACUUGCCAUUCUAUGUGAAUAAAUUGUCAGCAAACAGCACCAGCUGUCAGCUCUUUCCGGUGUGCUUCAGUGACAGAGUUCCUCAUCCAACAUCAUGGCCUCCCCAGGGUGGCCUGUGCUGGGAGCUGGGCUAGGAAGGCCCAGCCAUUCUGGCUCUGUGAGGGGAGCAAUGACGGGCAGUGCUAGCUUCAGAGUUUCCUGUCAUGGACUCUGUCUCAGGAGAAACCUGGAGGGAUUAUGGAAGAGCUGCUCCUUGAGUUCUACUGCAUCUAUGGACAAAAGGAUGGGCUGUGGCACCUGAAAGAAAGCAUCCCUCUCUGACAUAUGCAAGAGUAAAGCUGUCUGAGGGCUUUAGCUGCUGCAUUCCUGAAACCCAUCUUUGGAAUGCUGCCAAGCCUAUGGUUUCCAGUAGGAGUAUCAAGGCAGACCCAUGUCUGGGAGACAAAGGAUGCCUGUGAAAAACAAUUUUGGUUUGGGGACUCCUUAAAGUGUUGUUUGAUUAUAUUUUUUAAGAAUUCCACUGCAGUCUAAUAUUCUUUUACUCAUUUUCUUUUGUUUUGUUGCUCAUUCACUUGUGGUUGGGCCUGUACUAUUGUCUCACAGUGCUCUAGACACUGCUGGUUUUCUCCACAUUUUUUCUCAUAGACACUUUUAAAAUUAAUAUAUUUCUUGCAUUUCUAGCCCCUUUCUGGCAUUUCUUUCUCUGAGGGGCUGGAUUAACCAUUUAUUCUCUAGAUUCCAAAUGUUGUUUUUCUGUUAGCAGUAACUCAUGAAAGUUAGCUAUUAUUUGCUUUUUCCCCUCCUCUUCUCCUUUCCCUCUCACAUUCUCUAAUUUUUUCACUAUUUUAUUGGAUAUGUUCAUAGCAUAAAAGAAUGAUCAGAAAAUAUUUUCUGGAAAAGAUGAGAUAGUAAAUAUUUUACACUUAUGGGCCAACAGUUUCUGUCCCAACUUUUAAUUCUGCCAUGGUAGUGCAUAAGCAACCAUAGCCAAUAUCUAAAUAAAUGGGUCUGGCUGUAUUCUAAUAAAACACUACUUACAUAAAUAAGCAGUAGACCAGAUUUGGCCCUUUGACAACUUUAGGUCUAAAUUAUACUUUCAUUUCUAUUUGACUUUUUUUUUAUCAUUAAGUCUAACCCUUUUAACUUUCAGCUAUUAUUUGUUGAAGAAAUCAAUUUUUUUCUAAUUUUCAAUGAAU